CUUGGUCAUUUAGAGGAAGUAAAAGUCGUAACAAGGUUUCCGUAGGUGAACCUGCGGAAGGAUCAUUAACGAGUUUUGAAACGAGUUGUAGCUGGCCUUCCGGGGCAUGUGCACGCUCUGCUCAUCCACUCUACCCCUGUGCACUUACUGUAGGUUGGCGUGGGCUCCUUAACGGGAGCAUUCUGCCGGCCUAUGUAUACUACAAACACUUUAAAGUAUCAGAAUGUAAACGCGUCUAACGCAUCUAUAAUACAACUUUUAGCAACGGAUCUCUUGGCUCUCGCAUCGAUGAAGAACGCAGCGAAAUGCGAUAAGUAAUGUGAAUUGCAGAAUUCAGUGAAUCAUCGAAUCUUUGAACGCACCUUGCGCUCCUUGGUAUUCCGAGGAGCAUGCCUGUUUGAGUGUCAUGGAAUUCUCAACUUAUAAAUCCUUGUGAUCUAUAAGCUUGUACUUGGAGGCUUGCUGGCCCUUGCGGUCGGCUCCUCUUGAAUGCAUUAGCUUGAUUCCGUACGGAUCGGCUCUCAGUGUGAUAAUUGUCUACGCUGUGACCGUGAAGUGUUUUGGCGAGCUUCUAACCGUCCAUUAGGACAACUUCUUAACAUCUGACCUCAAAUCAGGUAGGACUACCCGCUGAACUUAAGCAUAUCAAUAAGCGGAGGA
rnacentral:rRNA from 1 species